CCUACGGGAGACAGCAGUGAGGAAUAUUGGUCAAUGGGCGCGAGCCUGAACCAGCCAUGCCGCGUGAAGGGCAGGGACCUAGGGGCGUUAAACUUCUUUUGUGCGGGAGCAAGAAUGGUCACGUGUGGCCAGACGAGAGUACCGUACGAAUAAGCAUCGGCUAACUCCGGGCCAGCAGCCGCGGGAAUACGGGGGAUGCAAGCGGUAUCCGGAGUUAUUGGGUUUAAAGGGUGCGUAGGCUGGGAGGUAAGUCAGCGGUGAAAUGCCCCCUCUCAACGGGGUGAAGUGCCAUUGAUACUGCCUUGCUGGAGUGCGGAUGCCGUCGGUGGCAUGUGUGUUGUAGCGGU
rnacentral:rRNA from 1 species